GUGCCAUCUCCUGAGAGCAGGAUUCAUACCGAAGACCUUUAAAGAGUGUGGGGAACGCAUGUGCUGAGUGAAGUCCCAUGGGCUGAUCACAGAGGAGUGGGAUGCGUGGAGCAGUUGUGUGAAAGCUUUCCACAUAAGGAUAUCUACAGGAGGGUGCAGUGACUUCGCUGACUUGCUGAUGGCUUGAGUGCUGUUCCCAGAGAACAUUUGUGUGAGCUGGGGAACAACACGUAAUGUUUCCGUGUGAUUAAUGAGAAGUUGUCAUCUGCAACAGAGUCAGCGCAGUGCCUCCGUAGCUGUGUGCAUCAAACUCUCAGAGCCAGCCCACGGUGGAAUAUUAGUGGAAUUACUCAGCAGAUUACUUCCAUGUUGUUUUUGUCAGCUUAUUCAUCCUGACGCCCAUUUGAUAAAAGGAAGGGGGUGUGAGAGCUUGCGUUACGCGUUUUUGUUAGCGUCUAACUAGUGGCUCUUCAAAAGGUCACGGGUACUUGAAGCUGUUUCAGACUGGUCAGACCACGGCUAUUAGUCAUGGUGCAUUAUUCACCCCGUCUCUCUUUCUUUCAUUAUUCUUCCCCUUUCUUUUAGUAGAAGAAAUGAUCUUUGGCAAGGAAACAAUAGCCAAAGGAAACAAUUUUUUUUUUUUUUUCUUCCGGAUGUUAAGUUUUUCCACCGGAAUUUAAUAGAAAUUAUUGGCACACUAUCUGCUACAGGAUGACCUGACCUCCCCUGUGACAGUUCACAAGAGCAGGAUGCAGGAGACGUCUUACUGACUAUUUUGGGCAUUUCAUGCCAAAUUUGAAUCCUCGAACACUUGAUGUCUGACUGGAUGUACUGGGAUCGGGAUCAUCUAAGGCAACCAUCCCCUCCUCUAUUUCGCAUUGGAUGGAACAACUGAAUGUGCCUGAGUCAAAAUGCCUACCCACAUCAAUCUGCUGCUGUGGUGUCUGAUCUCGUGGUUUAAGUCAAUGCCAAAGGGCCUGGAGCUUUGGAGCCUCCCAGUCGUGGUGGCAGAAGGGAUUGUACUGGCUGGGAAACGGGAUGAGGUGCUGCAGGUACAAUCUGUGUCCUGGUGGUUUUUUGUACACAGCAGAGCUAUCUAUCAACCAGUUUCAACCAAGACCAGUAACUUCAACCCUCCCCAACCCCUAGCUGGGGUGCAGAGAUGGUAAGGCUGCUCAUACCUGUCUUGGCCCCAGACACCCACAGCCAAGUUACUGCAGGCAGCAGGCUGCAAGAGAAACAACAGCGCGAGCAGGAGGGCAAGAAGAGGUGCAUUGUGAAAGAGUGGAGGAGGGAUAACACCAAGAGCUCUGGGUGUAGAGGCUGAGGGACAAGCCUGAGGCCCUGCAGUCACCUGUGGCAGACACAGGCAUGGAAGCAACCUUCAGCUGCAGCUCUUGGCUGCUGCCCUGGCCCCUUCCCUGUGCCAGCAAAUCAGGGCAAAGGUUUUCUGUAGCCACCACCUCUGUGUUUUCUAUCCUAUUCAGAGCUGUUUUCUAGUUAAAGAUACCCAGCUGACUGUUUUUAAAUGCAGGUACACAAGCCUUUCCUUCCUCCCUCUUCUAAUUAUUAAGUACCUAAACCGUGUUAUGU
rnacentral:lncRNA from 1 species